UACGGAAGGCAGCAGUGGGGAAUAUUGCACAAUGGGCGAAAGCCUGAUGCAGCUAUGCCGCGUGUAUGAAGAAGGCCUUAGGGUUGUAAAGUACUUUCAUCGGGGAGGAAAAAACAAAACUAAUAAUUUUAUUUCUUGACGUUACCCGAAAAAGAAGCACCGGCUAACUCCGUGCCAGCAGCCGCGGUAAUACGGAGGGUGCUAGCGUUAAUCAGAAUUACUGGGCGUAAAGAGCACGUAGGUGGUUUUUUAAGUCAGAUGUGAAAUCCCUGGGCUUAACCUGGAACUGCAUUUUGAAACUGAAAUACUAGAGUAUCGUAGAGGGAGGUAGAAUUCUAGGUGUAGCGGUGAAAUGCGUAGAUAUCUGGAGGAAUACCUGUGGCGAAAGCGGCCUCCUAAACCGAAUACUGACACUGAGGUGCGAAAGCGUGGGGAGCGAAACAGGGAUUAGAUACC
rnacentral:rRNA from 1 species